UUCGUUUGUAGAGUAUUUCUUCAAUCAGUGACGAGAUUUUGAGCUGUUAGCUUCCUUGGAUGUUUUGCCUGCUCAAAUAAAUUUAUUUAUGUUUGAUUUGACAGUGAAUCAGGAGAGUGCUUGGAAAGGACAAUAAUGAUUAGAGUGAGCUUCUUUUGCACGAUGUGGAGCAUAGGAACUGAUUUGACAAUUGGUACUGGAGACAUAGCUGGGGAGCCCAGCAGACAUCAGACCAGGUGAACUUUCAGAGCUGCAUAUUGAGUCCAGAGUCACUUCACAUCUGCAGUGCACUUGGUAGGGCAUUAGGACUAUGGGUG
rnacentral:misc_RNA from 1 species